GACGAACGCUGGCGGCGUGCUUAACACAUGCAAGUCGAACGGAAAGGCCCCUUUGGGGGUACUCGAGUGGCGAACGGGUGAGUAACACGUGAGUAACCUGCCCUUGACUUCGGGAUAACUUCAGGAAACUGGGGCUAAUACCGGAUAGGAAUCCUUGCUGCAUGGUGGGGGUUGGAAAGCUUCGGCGGUUUUGGAUGGACUCGCGGCUUAUCAGCUUGUUGGUGGGGUAGUGGCUUACCAAGGCUUUGACGGGUAGCCGGCCUGAGAGGGCGACCGGCCACAUUGGGACUGAGAGACGGCCCAGACUCCUACGGGAGGGAGCAGGGGGGAAUAUUGCACAAGGGGCGGAAGCCGGAUGCAGCAACGCCGCGGGCGGGAUGACGGCCUUCGGGUUGUAAACCGCUUUCAGCAGGGGCGAAGCUUGUGGUGACGGUACCUGCAGAAGAAGCACCGGCUAACUACGUG
rnacentral:rRNA from 1 species